rnacentral:tRNA from 1 species
AGGGAUAUAGCUCAGUUGGUAGAGUGCUUGCCUUGCAUUUAAAAGCCCUGGGUUCAAUCCCCAGCAUCACAA